GUUUCAAGGCCCUGAUGCCAGAGUACGACUGGCUAGCCAAUCAGCGCUUCGCACGCGCACCCUUCGUCCCUCUAGCCCCCUGAGAGACCUUAUUUUUUACUUAGUGCGCAAUAACUGUCAGCGCUAAAGAUACGUGCCGAUACCUAUACAAGCCAGUUUUAUUCAUUUGUGAAGUGAUGAUGAUG